GUAGCUCAACAGAUAGAGCAUCCCGAUUUGUAAUCGGAACGGACAAGGUUCGAGUCCUUCUGCGCCCA
rnacentral:tRNA from 1 species